CGGUAGUUUCCUUUUGCGUCUUGAUAGUUGUCAAAAAGAUAACAGCGAUGCCAUUGUAGUCUAGAAGUUGGACUUAAUGGAUACAAUUAUAUUCUAAAGUCUACAGGUAGCAGACUAGUAUGUUGGUCUACGUAGAGUUAGUGUAAUUUGUUUUCUUUUUUUAAUCAAGCAAGCGUGAUAGCCAUAAACAUUUAUGCACUCGCAAACGCUGUGUAUAUUUGUUUGGCGAUCUACUCUGGUUUUUGUCUUCAGGUUUCAUGAAAUCCAGAAACUCUAUGACGAUAAGGCAGAAUGCAUCCGAGCCAGCAGCUUUUACAAUGGGGGAGACAACUUUCAGCCAGUCUUGCACCAAAGUCUUGCCUAACAAAAGGACCAAGCGGAGUUUGAUUCCUGUACGCUCACACCAGCGAGACCAUCCAAAAGUGCACAUGUCUGACAACGAUGAGACUCAAUGGCAUGAAAAAAAUGGACCAGCUUUUUUGACACAUUCUGGAGUUUUCAUUGACCGUGUUUCUUCUCCUACGUUAUCGGACAUGGAAAGACCUUCACGAUCAUCAGGAGCUCCAAAAUCUAUUGGUUCCCUUCAGAGGGAUUCAGUAGUGACAAAGUACAUCGAUCGUUUUCGCUAUGGACAACCGCUGAGUCGAGAGGAGCGCCAGCAGAGGUCCUGUGAAUUUGAAGAGGAGAAUAUGCCUUUGUGGUGGAUGUCUUCCUCAUCUUUACCUCCUAGUUCAACACCAACUAAAAUUUUGCACAAAGAUCCGAAAGAUGAUCACAGCCAAGCCAUUUCCAGUCCGGCAAGACGCCCACUUGAUGAUGACUUGAAUUCUUCGCCACGCAGAGGAGACUAUAACAUGAAAGCAUAUAUUCCAUCAGACACAUCUCAGAGUGAGUUUGAGGACACAGAGAUACUUCACCUUCAAGAAAGGGCCACCAAACUUCUGCAGAGAGGUGACAGUAUUCUUAGCAAUGUAUCGAUUCCUGUCAGUUCAGAGGGCCUGGGAUGCUCAGAUCGCUCUUCUUCAGUCAAUAUAAAUCAGACGGCACAAAGACCUUUGAUUAACACUUCAAUAAAAUCUACAGCUGCAAUGGCCAGGUUGGACUCCGCUUUUGCUGUGCCCCUCCAAAGAUACACCGUCACUUCUUCAAUGUCGCCCCAUACACGUCCAGAAGAGGACAUCCUUUCCCAGUGGCGUUUAAGAAGAAAGAUGGAGCAGGCCAGGGAAUGGUCUCAUUCCCUGCAAAACUUCGAACUUUAUACCCCCACAUUUAAGGGUCGAGACCCCAGUCUACACUUUUCCUCAGUAAAUGGGCACCCUUACAAGCAACAGCAAAGUAUUCAAUACCCUGAACCCUCACAAGGAGCUGUUCCUGAGCCCAAAGAAGCCCAUGGACAUCAUCACUCAACUUCAGUCCCACUUGCCAUUGCUGUCUCUGAUACGUUAGUCUCCCAGCCACAGUCUCUCGCGCAUGUUCCUGCGCACAUGCAUCUCCUUUGUGACAUUCUUCCCUGUCCCACACGGUCACCUCAUCCGAUCAUGUUCCAAGGAAAUCCACACAUAGCGGAAGAGACCUUAACUAAAGAAAGAACUGAAGAAACCAAAGUCUCUGGCAACUUAAAGCGCAAUUCCAUCGACGAGCCUCCUCACAGACACAUUCCAUCACCGCCUCCUGCUCCUUGUAGACAUACAGAUGUAGAUUGUCCUUUUAGACCUACAGAUGGAGGUCAUCCUUCUCGACCUAGAGAAGGUGGCAGUCCAUCAAGACCUAUAGAAGGAGGCUGUCCUACCAGACUUACAAAAGACGGCCAUCCUUCGAAACCUAAGGAAGAAGGCAGUCCUUCUAGACAUACAGAAGAUCGGAAUCAGUCUAGACUUGUCGGAGGAGGUCAUGACGAGAACCCCAGAAUGACAAAUGAGAUGGCUAAAAAGGAAAAAGCCCAAACAAAGCAAGUGGGAGAAAGUGAGAAGACUGAGAGGAUUAUCAGAAAACAGAAGAAAUUGACAAGGUGUGCUGGAUGUAGCGAGCAUGCCGAUGGGCCUAACGUCACAAGCUCUGCACAGCAGAAGAAGAAGAACAAGACACGGGCAGAUCCACGGCAGCAGCAGAGACGUAAAGAUGCAGGCCAUCAUGCACCACAUUCUUCUCCGGUCCAUCGUGCCUUAGGCCAGCAGGUUGUUUCAGAGGUCCUGUUCCCACCAGCGGACUCUUCUCCCCAAGAUGCAGCUGUCCCAUCUCUCCCUGCCCCUCCGCAAUCCUCACUUCCUCCUUGCAACGCACACACCUCACUGGAGGUCAUGUCCCAGCUGCUGCAAGAGGCUGAAGGUGAGCCACCGGGCGACAAGGAGCAUCCGACCUUUAACCCCACUCUUAAUUGUGAGCACUAUAUUCUGGCACGUGUACGGCUGUUACCUCUCCGCAUUCCUGCACAUGUUAGGAUUUGUUUUUGCAGAUUCGGAUGAGAAAGAAUUUGAAGACGACCCUUUACUACGAGUCCUUCGCACACAAAGAAAAUGGGUUAAGGAGCAAAUAAGUGAAGUGGACUUCAUGUUGCACAAUAAGCCAGAAGAUAAGACAACUUGAUGCCGUAACUCAUGACAAUUUUUUUUCCAUUUGAUUUUGUAUGUAGUUUAUUGAAAUUUACAGAAGAAACAAAAUACAAUAAAAACUUCAGAAUCACAA